UUACGGUGUUUGAGCAUUAAAUGUUGUCGUAUACUCCGAUUGCUCGAACGUAUAAAAAUAAAUAAAUAACCAAAAACACGAAAGCGGUGUCCAGUGGUGAUCGAGUCACACGAUUACCACCACUGACCCUUUCACAGCCUUAGCCAUAUCUAUUAUAUUAUAUUAAUCUUACAAUCGAGUUACUAUCGAUUGUUCUAGUUUAUACAUAUUUAAAUUUCUUAUUAUUUUGUUUUUGCUUACUAUACUAAUUAAAAUAUUAUAGUGCAUUGACAUUAACAUUAUCAUUGAUAUUGACAUAUGAUUAAAUAAAUAGUAAUCCACAGGUUGAAUUCAGUACUCGUAGAUUAUUAACAGAGGUAACACUACGUGUUAUAAAAAUGAAAGUAAUUUCUUAAAUGUACAUGGAAAAGGAAUAACUCUUUUAGUUAACUUAUAUUCAAAUAUUUUUUUAAAAAACUAACCGCUGAAUCAAAUAUAUGUAUUAUUUAUUAUAGAUGCAUUUUUUUUUCUUGUAGGAACUUACAUUCACCCAAUUUUAUAACGAGGUGCAAAAUACAUAAAAUUGUUCAUGGCACAAUCGAAAAAAAAUAAUCUAAUUUUUGGCUCGUAGCGUUCAUAUAAUUUCCUUUCUUUAAUGUAUGCUGUUUUAGUUGAUGAUUAUUACUAUAUAGGCAUAUGAUAUUUCGAAGCCGGUUCCAACAAAUUAUAACUAAUAAGUAUAAUUAGUUAUUAUUAUCAUGUGAUUCGUAAUACAAUAUUGCAUGACCUUGAAUCUCCAAGUACUUAUUAAAAAAUAUAUUUUAUGAGCUUCGAUCUCAUUGGACCAUCGAUAUCAACUACGUAUUAGCAUCAUAUAGUUAUUUAAAAGAUCCAAUAAUAUUAUGUGAUCAGUGUUGUUAAAUCGUACUAUCGUAUUACUAUCUUAUGAAGUUAAAAAAUAAUAAAUUUUCUAACGAUAUUGUCAUUAUUUAUAAUACCUAUUUAUAUUAUAUUUUACCAUACCUAAAUGAUUGUUAUGAAUAUAUUUAUAUUAUUUAGUAUUAAGUGAAGUCUAUAUAACUUAUAUAAUACAAUAUUUUCAAUAUUUGAUAAUAUAUUUACUUGAUUUUAGUUAUUCUUUAGUCAUGAAAGUGACGUAUUCUUGGUGGAUAUAUUCAUUUUUAAUUUUCGGAACUGAAAUUGUGUGUGACACAAACAUUGAAAAACUACAAGCUGAAUCAUCUUGCUCAGAAUCUUCUGAGGAAUCGUUUGUUUGUUCAAAUGGAUUAUGUAUCACAUUGUCGUCGAUUUGUGAUGGUCAGGUGGAUUGCUUAGAUGGUUCAGACGAAAAAAUUGAAUUAUGUGAUCGAUUUAUUUUUGAAAAAUAUAAUAUCGAAGGUGAUGAUCUGUUUGGGCGCAGUAUAAAUAAUUUACUUGUAAAUUAUUAACACGUUUGGUCGCAUUUAUGAGAACACCUUUGGGCACAAAAAGUCUUAUAAUAUAAGUUGUGGUAG